rfam:Dorea sp. 5-2 genomic scaffold acPFE-supercont1.19, whole genome shotgun sequence.
CGGGGUGUGGCUCAGCUUGGCUAGAGCGCCUGGUUUGGGACCAGGAGGUCGCAGGUUCAAAUCCUGUCACCCCGA